UACGUAGGGGGCAAGCGUUGUCCGGAUUUAUUGGACGUAAAGAGCGUGUAGGCGGCCAGGCAGGUCCGUUGUGAAAACUCGAGGCUCAACCUCGAGACGUCGAUGGAAACCGUCUGGCUAGAGUCCGGAAGAGGAGAGUGGAAUUCCUGGUGUAGCGGUGAAAUGCGCAGAUAUCAGGAAGAACACCUAUGGCGAAGGCAGCUCUCUGGGACGGUACUGACGCUGAGACGCGAAAGCGUGGGGAGCGAACAGG
rnacentral:rRNA from 1 species